UUACAAGCCACGAGUUGUAAUAAAUACGGUAUCCAUAGGGAAUGAGUUUGGUAUUUUAUUUAUUACACACGAAUAAACGACCAUAUUUUAUUAACCCAAUAACUAAAUUCUUCACAUCGUGUUGAAGCGCGCAUGAAUACAGCUUGAUUUCACGUCAGUGACGUCACAAUGUGUAACUGUAAAAGAUGUCAUGCCGCAGGAAGAUAGUCCGACUUUAUAGCGCUAAGUUUUCAGGUGAAAUGACUGAUAACUGAUGACUGUUUAACAUUUUAUAUAUAUACCUUAAGAAUA